rnacentral:rRNA from 1 species
GAACGUCGUGAGACAGUUCGGUCCCUAUCCGUCGUGGGCGUAGGAAAUUUGAGAGGAGCUGUCCUUAGUACGAGAGGACCGGGAUGGACAUACCUCUGGUGUACCAGUUGUCGUGCCAACGGCAUAGCUGGGUAGCUAUGUAUGGACGGGAUAAGUGCUGAAAGCAUCUAAGCAUGAAGCCCCCCUCAAGAUGAGAUUUCCCAACUUCGGUUAUAAGAUCCCUCAAAGAUGAUGAGGUUAAUAGGUUCGAGGUGGAAGCGUGGUGACACGUGGAGCUGACGAAUACUAAUCGAUCGAAGACUUAAUCAAAAUU